GACGAACGCUGGCUGCGUGCUUAACACAUGCAAGUCGAACGGAAAGGCCCUGCUUUUGUGGGGUGCUCGAGUGGCGAACGGGUGAGUAACACGUGAGUAACCUGCCCUUGACUUUGGGAUAACUUCAGGAAACUGGGGCUAAUACCGGAUAGGAGCUCCUGCUGCAUGGUGGGGGUUGGAAAGUUUCGGCGGUUGGGGAUGGACUCGCGGCUUAUCAGCUUGUUGGUGGGGUAGUGGCUUACCAAGGCUUUGACGGGUAGCCGGCCUGAGAGGGUGACCGGCCACAUUGGGACUGAGAUACGGCCCAGACUCCUACGGGAGGCAGCAGUGGGGAAUAUUGCACAAUGGGCGGAAGCCUGAUGCAGCAACGCCGCGUGCGGGAUGACGGCCUUCGGGUUGUAAACCGCUUUCGCCUGUGACGAAGCGUGAGUGACGGUAAUGGGUAAAGAAGCACCGGCUAACUACGUGCCAGCAGCCGCGGUGAUACGUAGGGUGCGAGCGUUGUCCGGAUUUAUUGGGCGUAAAGGGCUCGUAGGUGGUUGAUCGCGUCGGAAGUGUAAUCUUGGGGCUUAACCCUGAGCGUGCUUUCGAUACGGGUUGACUUGAGGAAGGUAGGGGAGAAUGGAACUCCUGGUGGAGCGGUGGAAUGCGCAGAUAUCAGGAGGAACACCAGUGGCGAAGGCGGUUCUCUGGGCCUUUCCUGACGCUGAGGAGCGAAAGCGUGGGGAGCGAACAGGCUUAGAUACCCUGGUAGUCCACGCUGUAAACGGUGGGUACUAGGUGUGGGGUCCAUUCCACGGGUUCCGUGCCGUAGCUAACGCUUUAAGUACCCCGCCUGGGGAGUACGGCCGCAAGGCUAAAACUCAAAGGAAUCGACGGGGCCCCGCACAAGCGGCGGAGCAUGCGGAUUAAUUCGAUGCAACGCGUAGAACCUUACCUGGGUUUGACAUGGAUCGGGAGUGCUCAGAGAUGGGUGUGCCUCUUUUGGGGUCGGUUCACAGGUGGUGCAUGGCUGUCGUCAGCUCGUGUCGUGAGAUGUUGGGUUAAGUCCCGCAACGAGCGCAACCCUUGUUCACUGUUGCCAGCACGUUAUGGUGGGGACUCAGUGGAGACCGCCGGGGUCAACUCGGAGGAAGGUGGGGAUGACGUCAAGUCAUCAUGCCCCUUAUGUCCAGGGCUUCACGCAUGCUACAAUGGCUGGUACAGAGAGUGGCGAGCCUGUGAGGGUGAGCGAAUCUCGGGAAGCCGGUCUCAGUUCGGAUUGGGGUCUGCAACUCGACCUCAUGAAGUCGGAGUCGCUAGUAAUCGCAGAUCAGCAACGCUGCGGUGAAUACGUUCCCGGG
rnacentral:rRNA from 1 species